UAACCCCGCCUGGGAGCAGGACCCACCUGCUGCUCAUUGCCCUAUUUUAGCCACUUCUUUAUUAAACCAACUCUAGGUCCACUUCAUUUACUGGUUUUAAGUUUGACCAAUAAACCUAUAUGGCUCCUUCAUUAGAAGCUGCAGAAUCAGCCUCCUGUCUGGCUACAGUAUUUUGGUCCACAGUAUCCCCUCGGUGGAGCUGAAAUCUUAUGUGGGGUGUCAUUGCCGCUGACAGCACCUGCAGAUGGCUUUGUUUUUCCUCCGACAGGCACAAGUCAGACUGCUAUAGCACAGAAGACUUUAUUACUUUUCCUGUUAACUUGCUUGUCUUCUGAGGGAAGAGAGGAUUUAUGGGUGCUCAGGAGCCCCUGUGCUGGGAGAAUCUUCCCACCAUCACUCAGCAGGUGUGAACGCUCUGAAACCAACAAGACGCCAGCUCAGCCAAGAAGAAUUCUGCUGUGCAAACUAAUGCCUAGAAGAUGCAUUGCAUGUAGCCAGGACUCACACUCAGGGGUUGUUCACAUCAGGACCUGUUCUCGUGUCUCUGGCAGUCGAAGGGCAAUCAGGCCACCACCAACCAGAGAGGACGCGGCCAGAAGGAUGGGGACCACUUUGGUUAUCCCAACAAAGGAAGCGAAGAUGGUGUUUCCAAGGAUGGCUCCAAAUUUGCAUAAUCCAUUGAGGAUGCCAAAGGCUGUUGCCCUGCAAAAGAAGAGGAAAGAGUCCAAACAGGUCUGGGGAGAGGACCAGGGAAGAACUGACCUCUGGUUGGUGGGAUACAACUCCACAGUGAUCACAUCCAGGGCAUUCCAGGCGGCAAUGCUGGUCCCACAGAACAGGCACUGCCAGCCUAUCAUCGCUGACUCACUGUUGCCGAAAAACAGGAAGAAGCAGCAGACUGCCGAGAUGAGCAUAGAGCCCCCUACAAAGGAGACCAAGGGCAGAUGGAAGCAUGACACCUGGGCCCUGGACAAGACUCUCCCCCACAGGUCUUGCUUCCUCACAGGAAGCAGCCUGUCUGAACUCCAUGGAGAGGCCAUCAGCUUUACCCUCCAAUAUGGCGCCCGGGCCACAGGAGCCCUCCACAUGGGUCAGGUCACCAGAGCCAGUCUCCAAGAAGGAUUCUGGAAUUGGCACUAUGUGGGUGCCAUGUUCCAGCCCAGAGUGAUGGAGAUGGGGCAGAGGAGGGUGGAUUCUGAGAAUUGAUCCUGUGUCAGAGGCCUCUUGUGGGUGCUUGAGAUACGUCAGUUUAGGUCCAAACCCCCACUGUUAUGUAGCUGACACAGAAAUAGUACCUACUUCCUUUGGUCGUUAUGAGGGUUAUAUGUGUUAAUAUUGAUAAAGUGCUUGGAACAAAGCCUGGCCUAUAAUAAGCUCAUUGUAAAUGUCUGUUAAAUGAAAUGCCUAGUUGAUGUCUGUCUCUGCCUGUAGACCAUUUGCUCCUUAGGCACAGGGGUACUGUCUGUCUCAAUUACUGUUGUACUCCUGAUGCCUACUGCAGCGCCUGGCAGAGAAUCAGUGCUGCAUAAAUAAAUGUUUAUUAAAUAGAUAUACAAGCGGGUAACAGCCUCAUCAGGAAGACUUCUAUUCCACUGUUAAUAAGAAACCAUUUCUACCCAGAAAAGAUCACAGCCCAGGAAAUCGGAAAAUGAUGCUCCAGCAGAUGCCAUAGGUGGUUUUAUCUGGGACCCACGGAUAGGACUAAUGGAAGCAGGUCACCCAGGCCCCAUGGAGAAGAUAUAGACUAGCUCUUCAAUGAGUACUUAAUGACUGAGGACAUCACAGUUGAACCACUGGAUGCCAGACCCUUUAUUAAAGACUGGGGCUACAGAGGUAAUAAGACACUGGCUGAGUACUCAAGGAGCUUGCAAACUAGCUCAAAAACAAAAUGCAGACAUUAAUAAAAAACUAGAAUAUGAAGAAAUUUUUAAAUAUUUCUAGAUCUCUAAUUUGGGGCAACCAUCCCUUUCUUUAGUAUUAUAGAAGUCAGCUUUGAUCUGUGCUGCACUCAUGAUGACGAGGAUGUCAAAGGGAGGACAAGGUUGGCUCUUCCCACCCCGCCCUGCCAGUCAGCUGUGCCCAGCCUGUCCUCUGGCCCCGUGUGGCUGGCCAUGGGAGAGCAGGCCAUUCUCAUUUCCAUGUGUGCCCACCCCGCCACCCACAGACCCUGCUUUCCCAAGAACAUCCCCAGGCACCCCAGGACCUGACCAAAUUGUUCACUGUUAGACCCUGGGCCUCAAGGGCUGGUGACAAAAAAGCAGAGGGGUCUUGCAUUUACUCUCACACCCUUUUUCUCAGUUGAGCCUGGGGAGCUAAUACUUUCACAAUUAUGAAGCAGAAGCUCAGAGAAGUCAAGGAAUUUGUGUCAACGCAUAAAGCUAACUUUGGCAGAGAAGGCGCCCUGACUCCCA
ensembl:lincRNA